CGAUGUAGCUCAGCUGGCUAGAGCAGCUGAUUUGUAAUCAGCAGGUCGUGGGUUCGAGUCCCUCCAUCGGCU
rnacentral:tRNA from 1 species